rnacentral:pre_miRNA from 1 species
GGGGUGAGGCCGGUUCCUGGGCUGUGUCCCCAGCGCCCUGUGCUCCCGGGCCUGCGCUGUUGGAUUCGCGCUACCCGCCGCGCAGCCGCCU